rnacentral:rRNA from 1 species
CACGCCGUAAACGAUGAGUACUAGGUGUAGGGGGUAUCGACUCCCCCUGUGCCGCAGUUAACACAAUAAGUACUCCGCCUGGGAAGUACGAUCGCAAGAUUAAAACUCAAAGGAAUUGACGGGGGCCCGCACAAGCAGCGGAGCAUGUGGUUUAAUUCGAAGCAACGCGAAGAACCUUACCUAGACUUGACAUCCCCUGAAUUACUCGUAACGGAGGAAGCCCUUCGGGGCAGGGAGACAGGUGG